GCUUUCUUUAGCAACGCGCACACUAAAAUUGGAACAGCAUACAGAAGAUUAGCACUGCCUUGUGCAAGAAUGAUACACAAAUUUGUGAAGCGAUCCAAUUUAUU